CCGGCGGCUGAGAAUGUUAAUUGUUCUCCAUCGCCCCCAGUGAUUUUAACAUUUCAUAAUUCCUCCCCUGGCUGACAGCUGGAUUCUUCCUUAAUUACAAACCCGUUGGAGUUGAAAAAUCAGACAUUUCCUGGAAUUUAAACAACCAAUUUUCCACCCGUCAGCAUCCAACAACACAAUCCUACGGCUUCAUUCUGGAAAAAAGUCGUCAGAGCACGCCGGGUAAACGCGGGGGAAAAGGGAUUUUGGUGACUUCAUACAUCCAAAUGCAGCAUUCCUGGAUCUUUGGAUUCCAUUGGAAGGUGGAAAUAGCACUGGCAGAACCACAAUCCCAUGUUUUCAAAAGGCAGCAUGUGGAUAAAUACUGCGGGUGGAUCUUUUAAACACAGCGUUGGCGUCCGACUGUGCAAUUAUUCCUCUCUGCCUCAGGAAACACAUCUUCAUUCAGAAUUAUUGCAGAAUAAAUGUUGAUUUUUUUCUUCCCCCUCACCGUUUGCCACAGGAUUUGUUCAUUUUCUCUCUGCAGCGAACUGUUGAGGCAGUGAGGAAAAGCUGCAAGCUCCCAAUUCUCAGCCUAUUGAAAAGACAAAAGGAAAAGAACCCUUGGACAGCUGCUGGCCUCCAGGAAACUCCAGGAAUGGAGACCCACCGUGCUGCAUCCUAAUUACAUCCUUGGGGAACAGCAAAGAGCCCCAAACACUCAUCCAGCAGAGGCAGAAACAGCAACACCACUUGACAGGACAUCUCAGCUGCUUCUUUCUCUUCCAGAACCCACAGUUUCAGCCAUGUGGGCUUUUAUUUUAUCUCCUUUUUUUUUUUAUCAGUCUCUAUCUCUUGUGGUCAUGGGAAAGAAGUAACCCUUCAUCUGUAACUGAUUAACGAGGUUGGUGCUCGAGUUUGCAAGGAGCCUGAAAUGAGAGCUGGUGGAGAUCUGAGGAGCCUUGCUUGCUCCUGUGAACUGUGUGCUCUGACCUCCUGGAGGGAUGUCCCUGCAUGGACCCUUUGCCUUGACUGGGAGAGGACAACUGCAAAUGGAAAAAAAGGAAAAAAAAAAGCAACAUGACAUACCCAAAAAUGACCUUUGGAGCUGGGACUGCACAAAAAAGCUGCCCCAGCUUGGAAACCUUGAGGCAAGGGCUUGGAAGUCACUGAGUCUGGGUCAGCUGUGCAACGAGGACUUUCCAGAGGAAGCAAUUUUAUUUGGGAAAGCAAUCCUGGGACUUGGAGUCCUGUUUGAGCAAUGGAACUCAAAGAACGUUUGCAUUUUGCAUCGGUCUGGGUUUGUUCUCCCCCUGGGAGCAGCUGGGUUUUCCCCAUCUUGUCCCAUUCUCAUGGUUUGGUCUAUUUUGGCACCACCCCAGUUCUUCUGGCUUUUCCUGGUUUUUUCCUGGGGGAGGAGGGUUCCAUGGACAGCUCCUUCACCCUGCUGUGGGACACAAGCUGCCCCCACCUCUGAGUGUGGUGCUGCACCUUGGCCAGGGCUCUCAGGGGAGGGGAUUGAGGAGCAGCAGGGGUUUGCACUCGUGGGGACAUGGGGCUGAGCCCAGUUUAAAACCUCCCAGCUCAGAGCAUCUGCAAAGCCCAGCCUGGGGGGAUGAUGCAAUCGGGGCCGCCAGAUUUCCCCAUCCUCGGCUCAUUUAAAGCAGGUGAGAAGCUGUGGAAAAUGCUCUGGAAACAGCACAGCUCCUGGUGGGAGAUGAUUUGUCCCUGGACAGCCGAAGGAGGGGAUGCCAAAGGCCUUUAAAAAAGCUCCUCUGGCCUUCAGCAGGGAGAAGGAAAGCCAAGGAAGAACACCUGUUCCAAGGAAUAGGAGCAAACCUGGAGAGCGCUUGGAAAAUGGAUUUGUCAGGCAGCUUAAAUGGAAAUGUUAUUCCUGAAGUUUGUUGUCAGAUUUGUGCAUGCCUAACCCAGAAACCCACAGCAAAAACCAAACAAAAAAAGUGGGAUAAAAGCCCUGAGGGUGAACAGAAAGAAGAAAUCCCACGUAGGUCACUACAGCUGGGGGGAAAUCUUUUUGGAAAUAACUGUUUGAGCCAUUCUCACUCUUUCUGUCAGCAUCUCACUGGAUGCAGCUCAGCAGAGAAUUUAUUCCAUCCUGCUAAACUCGAUUUAGUGGGAGUAGUGCAGCCUGUGGAGGAAAACCAAGGAUGCCAAGGGAAAUGGGAGCCACAAAGAAGUGCAGAGCAAAGGAGCGAGUCGAGUUUAUUUAACUUUCUAUUAUCUCCAAGGCUAUAAAGCCUGGAAAUGAAACAGAAACAGAAUCCUACACAACAUUUUGGAGCUUGUCCAGAAGAAAUCUAAGGACACUUGUUCCUGCUGAUGUCUGCACCGCUGGAUUAAUUUCCAUUAAGCCAAGGGAAGGAAAAUCCCUGUCAGUCACAGUCACUCCAGGAUGGCAAAAAUCUCCAUUUCUCGUGCCUUCAAAUCACAAACUUGCACAGAAGCAAUGGAGGCAAGAAUUUAAUCACCAUGAAAAACCCUGAAAGCUUGGGAAAUACUGGCCUGAAUCCAAGGUUUUCUCCUCUUUUCCCCCUCCUGAGGCUGUCAGGAAUAUUUGGCUUCCAGUCUGCCACAGGGAUCAGGCAGAGUGUGAAUCAAGGAUUUCAAGAUGGAAAAAACAAAGUUCCUUGCCCCUAUUUAUUGCAUGGAUUUGUUUAAUCAGCCCUUUUAAUUAACCCAACCUUCCCACACCGCCCCAGCUGCUCCUUAAUUGUCCAAAUUCUUCCUUCUGACCAGAACCAUUCCCCCACCAUUCCCAGGACAAAACUACAUUUUCCCAGCUCAGGUUGCACCUGCCUUCAUCCAUGGGGUGUGUUUUAUGGGACACAACAGAAAAUUCUGCUGUUUCAGCCAGCAGACAUUUUAAUUCAUAUUUAUUAAAGAGAAAUAACAUUAGCAAGGUGAUGAUUUUCCUGGUAGCAGUUAUAUUCCCAGAAAUAAUAUCUUCUGUAGUGGAUUAAAGGAAAAUAAUAAAAGAAAUAAUAAAGAAAAUUACGACCA